rnacentral:rRNA from 1 species
UACGGGGGGAGCAAGCGUUGUUCGGAUUUACUGGGCGUAAAGGGCGCGUAGGCGGCGUGACAAGUCACUUGUGAAAUCUCCGGGCUUAACCCGGAGCGGCCAAGUGAUACUGUUGUGCUAGAGUGCGGAAGGGGCUACUGGAAUUCUCGGUGUAGCGGUGAAAUGCGUAGAUAUCGAGAGGAACACCUGCGGCGAAGGCGGGUAGCUGGGACGACACUGACGCUGAGGCGCGAAAGCCAGGGGAGCGAACGGG